rnacentral:rRNA from 1 species
GACGGGACCCGCACAAGCGUGGAGCAUGUGGUUUAAUUCGACGAUAUGCGAAGAACCUUACCUGGCCUUGACAUACUAAAAAGCUUUAAGAGAUUAGAGUGUGCUAGCUUGCUAGAAUUUAGAUACAGGUGCUGCACGGCUGUCGUCAGCUCGUGUCGUGAGAUGUUGGGUUAAGUCCCGCAACGAGCGCAACCUCGUGUUUAGUUGCUAACAGUUCGGCUGAGAACUCUAAACAGACUGCCUACGCAAGUAGGAGGAAGGUGAGGACGACGUCAAGUCAUCAUGGCCCUUACGGCCAGGGCUACACACGUGCUACAAUGGGGUAUACAAAGAGCAGCGAUACGGUGACGUGGAGCAAAUCUAGAAAAUGCCUCUCAGUUCGGAUUGUAGUCUGCAACUCGACUACAUGAAGUUGGAAUCGCUAGUAAUCGUAGAUCAGCAAUGCUACGGUGAAUACGUUCCCGGGUCUU